UCAGUCAAAGCACUUCAAAGGCUCCGGGGGAAAAAUACAGUGUGAAAGGAAGGAGAUGUUUAAAUCCAGGAAGGAAGCGUGAGGGAAGAAAGGAUGUGGUUUGGGUACAUUUUUAGAGGAUUGAGGACUUUACUGUCAUUGGAGAAUGACCUUCGAGCUAUAUGGAAACCUUUAGUCACAUAAUCUGAUAACC